rnacentral:tRNA from 1 species
GAUUAAAUGGCUGAAUUAUAGGCAAUAGAUUGUAAAUCUAUUUAUGGGAACAUUAUCCUUUUAAUUA